UACGAAGGGGGCUAGCGUUGCUCGGAAUCACUGGGCAUAAAGGGUGCGUAGGCGGGUCUUUAAGUCAGGGGUGAAAUCCUGGAGCUCAACUCCAGAACUGCCUUUGAUACUGAGGAUCUUGAGUUCGGGAGAGGUGAGUGGAACUGCGAGUGUAGAGGUGAAAUUCGUAGAUAUUCGCAAGAACACCAGUGGCGAAGGCGGCUCACUGGCCCGAUACUGACGCUGAGGCACGAAGCGUGGGAGCAACAGG
rnacentral:rRNA from 1 species